rnacentral:rRNA from 1 species
GUGGGGAAUUUUGGACAAUGGGCGCAAGCCUGAUCCAGCAAUGCCGCGUGCAGGAAGAAGGCCUUCGGGUUGUAAACUACUUUUGUACGGAACGAAAAGGCUCUGGUUAAUACCUGGGGCUCAUGACGGUACCGUAAGAAUAAGCACCGGCUAACUACGUGCCAGCAGCCGCGGUAAUACGUAGGGUGCAAGCGUUAAUCGGAAUUACUGGGCGUAAAGCGUGCGCAGGCGGUUUUGUAAGACAGACGUGAAAUCCACGUGCUCAACCUGGGAAUGGCGUUUGUGACUGCAAAGCUGGAGUGCGGCAGAGGUGGAUGGAAUUCCGCGUGUAGCAGUGAAAUGCGUAGAUAUGCGGAGGAACACCGAUGGCGAAGGCAAUCCCCUGGGCCUGCACUGACGCUCAUGCACGAAAGCGUGGGGAGCAAACAGGAUUAGAAACCCGUGUAGUCC